UACAGAGGUCUCAAGCGUUGUUCGGAUUCAUUGGGCGUAAAGGGUGUGUAGGUGGCGCGCUAAGUCGGGUGUGAAAUUUCGGAGCUUAACUCCGAAACUGCAUUCGACUACUGGCGUGCUUGAGGACUGGAGAGGAGACUGGAAUUCAUGGUGUAGCAGUGAAAUGCGUAGAGAUCAUGAGGAAGACCAGUGGCGAAGGCGGGUCGUCUGG
rnacentral:rRNA from 1 species